GUUUGAUCCUGGCUCAGAACGAACGCUGGCGGCAUGCCUAACACAUGCAAGUCGAACGAAGCCUUCGGGCUUAGUGGCGCACGGGUGCGUAACACGUGGGAAUCUGCCCUUCGGUUCGGAAUAACAGUUAGAAAUGACUGCUAAUACCGGAUGAUGACGUAAGUCCAAAGAUUUAUCGCCGAAGGAUGAGCCCGCGUAGGAUUAGGUAGUUGGUAGGGUAAUGGCCUACCAAGCCGACGAUCCUUAGCUGGUCUGAGAGGAUGAUCAGCCACACUGGGACUGAGACACGGCCCAGACUCCUACGGGAGGCAGCAGUGGGGAAUAUUGGACAAUGGGCGAAAGCCUGAUCCAGCAAUGCCGCGUGAGUGAUGAAGGCCUUAGGGUUGUAAAGCUCUUUUACCAGGGAUGAUAAUGACAGUACCUGGAGAAUAAGCUCCGGCUAACUCCGUG
rnacentral:rRNA from 1 species